GACGAACGCUGGCGGCGUGCUUAACACAUGCAAGUCGAACGAAGAGCGAUGGGAGCUUGCUUCUAUCACUCUUAGUGGCUAACGGGUGAGUAACGCGUAAUCAACCUGCCCUUCAGAGGGGGACAACAGUUGGAAACGACUGCUAAUACCGCAUACGAUCUAAACUCGGCAUCGAGGAUAGAUGAAAGGUGGCCUCUACAUGUAAGCUAUCACUGAAGGAGGGGAUUGCGUCUGAUUAGCUAGUUGGAGGGGUAACGGCCCACCAAGGCGAUGAUCAGUAGCCGGUCUGAGAGGAUGAACGGCCACAUUGGGACUGAGACACGGCCCAGACUCCUACGGGAGGCAGCAGUGGGGAAUCUUCCGCAAUGGACGAAAGUCUGACGGAGCAACGCCGCGUGAGUGAUGACGGCCUUCGGGUUGUAAAGCUCUGUUAAUCGGGACGAAAGGCCUUCUUGCGAAUAGUGAGAAGGAUUGACGGUACCGGAAUAGAAAGCCACGGCUAACUACGUG
rnacentral:rRNA from 1 species